GAUGAACGCUGGCGGCGUGCCUAAUACAUGCAAGUCGAGCGAACGGACGAGAAGCUUGCUUCUCUGAUGUUAGCGGCGGACGGGUGAGUAACACGUGGAUAACCUACCUAUAAGACUGGGAUAACUUCGGGAAACCGGAGCUAAUACCGGAUAAUAUUUUGAACAGCAUGGUUCAAAAGUGAAAGACGGUCUUGCUGUCACUUAUAGAUGGAUCCGCGCUGCAUUAGCUAGUUGGUAAGGUAACGGCUUACCAAGGCAACGAUGCAUAGCCGACCUGAGAGGGUGAUCGGCCACACUGGAACUGAGACACGGUCCAGACUCCUACGGGAGGCAGCAGUAGGGAAUCUUCCGCAAUGGGCGAAAGCCUGACGGAGCAACGCCGCGUGAGUGAUGAAGGUCUUCGGAUCGUAAAACUCUGUUAUUAGGGAAGAACAUGUGUGUAAGUAACUGUGCACAUCUUGACGGUACCUAAUCAGAAAGCCACGGCUAACUACGUG
rnacentral:rRNA from 1 species